rnacentral:rRNA from 1 species
UACAGAGGGUGCGAGCGUUAAUCGGAAUUACUGGGCGUAAAGCGCACGUAGUCGGCUUUGCAAGUCGGUUGUGAAAUCCCCGGGCUCAACCUGGGAACUGCAUCCGAGGCUGCAUUGCUAGAGUAUGGGAGAGGAAAGCGGAAUUUCUGGUGUAGCAGUGAAAUGCGUAGAUAUUGGGAGGAACACCAGUGGCGAAGGCGGCUCACUGGACCGGUACUGACGCUGAUGGCGCGAAAGCGUGGGGAGCAAACGGG